GGAGGCGGAGCCGGAGGAGUCAGGGCGGGGCCGGAGGCGCCUGGCGCUUCCUUUUAAUCAGCGGGUUGUAGGUUCAAGUCCUACACGUCCCACCA
rnacentral:tRNA from 1 species